rnacentral:rRNA from 1 species
UACGGGGGGGAGCAAGCGUUGUUCGGAUUUACUGGGCGUAAAGGGCGCGUAGGCGGCGCAACAAGUCACUUGUGAAAUCUCCGGGCUUAACCCGGAGCGGCCAAGUGAUACUGUCGUGCUAGAGUGCGGAAGGGGCUACUGGAAUUCUCGGUGUAGCGGUGAAAUGCGUAGAUAUCGAGAGGAACACCUGCGGCGAAGGCGGGUAGCUGGGCCGACACUGACGCUGAGGCGCGAAAGCCAGGGGAGCGAACGGG